GUUUUUUAAUCAGGGCUGGAAUUUGGGAUCUUCAGCCACACCUCCAGUUCUGGAUUGAAAGUGCUACUACACCUGACUGCACUGUCUUGUGAUUCCUCCAUUAAAAUGAAGCAGAAAGGCCAAAACUUAUGAUGCAGAAACAUGGUAAGUUUGUUGCUGUAAAAACACUGAAAGAGCAAACAGCCAAA
rnacentral:lncRNA from 1 species